rnacentral:misc_RNA from 1 species
GAUGAAGAACGUAGCGAAAUGCGAUAAGUAGUGUGAAUUGCAGAAUUCAGUGAAUCAUCGAAUCUUUGAACGCACAUUGCGCCCCUUGGUAUUCCAUGGGGCUUGCCUGUUCGAGCGUCAUUUGUACCUUCAAGCUCUGCUUGGUGUUGGGUGUUUGUCUCGCCUCUGCGUGUAGACUCGCCUCAAAACAAUUGGCAGCCGGCGUAUUGAUUUCGGAGCGCAGUACAUCUCGCGCUUUGCACUCAUAACGACGACGUCCAAAAGUACAUUUUUACACUCUUGACCUCGGAUCAGGUAGGGAUACCCGCUGAACUUAAGCAUAUCAAUAAGCGGAGGA